rnacentral:rRNA from 1 species
CAGCUAAGGUCCCAAAGUACUAGCUAAGUGGGAAACGAUGUGGGAAGGCUUAGACAGCUAGGAUGUUGGCUUAGAAGCAGCCAUCAUUUAAAGAAAGCGUAAUAGCUCACUAGUCGAGUCGGCCUGCGCGGAAGAUGUAACGGGGCUAAGCUAGUCACCGAAGCUACGGGUGCACAGUUUACUGUGCGCGGUAGAGGAGCGUUCUGUAAGCCGUUGAAGGUGAAGGGGUAACCCACGCUGGAGGUAUCAGAAGUGCGAAUGCUGACAUGAGUAACGAUAAAGGGGGUGAAAAACCCCCUCGCCGAAAGACCAAGGGUUCCUGUCCAACGUUAAUCGGGGCAGGGUGAGUCGACCCCUAAGGUGAGGCCGAAAGGCGUAAUCGAUGGGAAACAGAUUAAUAUUUCUGUACUUCCGCUAACUGCGAUGGAGAGACGGAGAAGGCUAGGCUAGCGCGGCGUUGGUAGUCCGCGUUUAAGGUGGUAGGUUGAUUUCUUAGGCAAAUCCGGGGAAUCGCACUUUAGUGUGCAGACUGAGAGCUGAUGACGAGGUCCUAAGGGACUGAAGUAGUUGAUGCCAUGCUUCCAGGAAAAUCUUCUAAGCUUCAGGUUAGUGGGAAUCGUACCCCAAACCGACACAGGUGGUCGGGUAGAGAAUACCAAGGCGCUUGAGAGAACUCGGCUGAAGGAACUAGGCAAAAUGGUACCGUAACUUCGGGAGAAGGUACGCUCCUGUUGGUGAUGAGACUUGCUCUCUAAGCUGACGGGAGUCGCAGAUACCAGGUGGCUGCAACUGUUUAUCAAAAACACAGCACUGUGCAAACUCGCAAGAGGAAGUAUACGGUGUGACGCCUGCCCGGUGCCGGAAGGUUAAUUGAUUGGGUUAUCGCAAGAGAAGCUCAUGAUCGAAGCCCCGGUAAACGGCGGCCGUAACUAUAACGGUCCUAAGGUAGCGAAAUUCCUUGUCGGGUAAGUUCCGACCUGCACGAAUGGCGUAAUGAUGGCCACGCUGUCUCCAGCCGAGACUCAGUGAAGUUGAAAUUGCGGUGAAGAUGCCGUAUACCCGCGGCUAGACGGAAAGACCCCGUGAACCUUUACUAUAGCUUGGCACUGAACAUUGAACCUACAUGUGUAGGAUAGGUGGGAGACUUUGAAGUUGUGACGCUAGUCAUGAUGGAGUCGUCCUUGAAAUACCACCCUUGUAGUUUUGAUGUUCUAACCUAGGUCCCUUAUCGGGAUUAGGGACAGUGCCUGGUGGGUAGUUUGACUGGGGCGGUCUCCUCCCAAAGAGUAACGGAGGAGCACGAAGGUUGGCUAAGUACGGUCGGACAUCGUACGGUUAGUGCAAUGGCAUAAGCCAGCUUAACUGCGAGACAUACACGUCGAGCAGGUACGAAAGUAGGUCAUAGUGAUCCGGUGGUUCUGAAUGGAAGGGCCAUCGCUCAACGGAUAAAAGGUACUCCGGGGAUAACAGGCUGAUACCGCCCAAGAGUUCAUAUCGACGGCGGUGUUUGGCACCUCGAUGUCGGCUCAUCACAUCCUGGGGCUGAAGUCGGUCCCAAGGGUAUGGCUGUUCGCCAUUUAAAGUGGUACGCGAGCUGGGUUCAGAACGUCGUGAGACAGUUCGGUCCCUAUCUGCCGUGGGCGUUGGAUGAUUGAAGGGAGCUGCUCCUAGUACGAGAGGACCGGAGUGGACGAACCGCUGGUGUUCGGGUUGUCAUGCCAAUGGCAUUGCCCGGUAGCUACGUUCGGAAUCGAUAACCGCUGAAAGCAUCUAAGCGGGAAGCGAGCCCUAAGAUGAGUCAUCCCUAGGAAUUUAAUUCCUCUAAAGAGCCGUUCGAGACUAGGACGUUGAUAGGCAUGGUGUGUAAGCGUUGUGAGGCGUUGAGCUAACAUGUACUAAUGACUCGAGAGGCUUAACCAUACAACCCAGAUGGGUUUU